rnacentral:SRP_RNA from 1 species
GCCGGGUGCAGUGGCUCACGCCUGUAAUCCCAGCACUUUGGGAGGCCGAGACGGGCGGAUCACGAGGUCAGGAGAUCGAGACCAUCCUGGCUAACACGGUGACACCCCAUCUCUACUAAAAAGUACAAAAAACUAGCCGGGCGAGGUGGCGGGCGCCUGUAGUCCCAGCUACUCGGGAGGCUGAGGNNNNNNNNNNUCAGCCUCCCGAGUAGCUGGGACUACAGGCGCCCGCCACCUCGCCCGGCUAGUUUUUUGUACUUUUUAGUAGAGAUGGGGUGUCACCGAGUUAGCCAGGAUGGUCUUGAUCUCCUGACCUCGUGAUCCGCCCGUCUU